rnacentral:rRNA from 1 species
UACGUAGGGUGCGAGCGUUGUCCGGAUUAUUGGGCGUAAAGGGCUCGUAGGCGGUUUGUCGCGUCGGGAGUGAAAUCCACUGGCUUAACUGGUGGCUUGCUUUCGAUACGGGCAGACUGGAGGUAUGCAGGGGAAAACGGAAUUCCUGGUGUAGCGGUGAAAUGCGCAGAUAUCAGGAGGAACACCGGUGGCGAAGGCGGUUCUCUGGGCAUGUCCUGACGCUGAGGAGCGAAAGUGUGGGGAGCGAACAGG